rnacentral:rRNA from 1 species
UCCUACGGGGCGCAGCAGUGAGGAAUAUUGGUCAAUGGGCGGGAGCCUGAACCAGCCAAGUCGCGUGAAGGAAGAAGGUACUUAGUAUUGUAAACUUCUUUUGUCGGGGAACAAAGGCGGAGACGCGUCUCCGGAUGAGUGUACCCGAAGAAAAAGCAUCGGCUAACUCCGUGCCAGCAGCCGCGGUAAUACGGAGGAUGCGAGCGUUAUCCGGAUUUAUUGGGUUUAAAGGGUGCGCAGGCGGGAGAUCAAGUCAGCGGUAAAAUGUCGGGGCUCAACCACGGCCGGCCGGUGAAACUGGUUUU